rnacentral:rRNA from 1 species
AUACGUAGGCAGCAAGCGUUGUUCGGAAUUACUGGGCGUAAAGGGUGCGUAGGCGGUUGCCUAAGUUUGGUGUGAAAUCUCCCGGCUUAACUGGGAGGGUGCGCUGAAGACUGGGCGACUUGAGUAUGGGAGAGGAAAGCGGAAUUCCUGGUGUAGCGGUGAAAUGCGUAGAGAUCAGGAGGAACACCUGCGGUGUAGACGGCUUUCUGGACCAAGACUGACGCUGAGGCACGAAAGCGUGGGUAGC